rnacentral:rRNA from 1 species
AUUGAACGCUGGCGGCAGGCCUAACACAUGCAAGUCGAGCGAGCGGCGGACGGGUGAGUAAUGUCUGGGAAACUGCCUGAUGGAGGGGGAUAACUACUGGAAACGGUAGCUAAUACCGCAUACCAUCAGAUGUGCCCAGAGGGGAUUAGCUAGUAGGGGGGGUAAUGGCUCACCUAGGCGACGCACCCUAGCUGGUCUGAGAGGAUGACCAGCCACACGGGAACUGAGACACGGUCCAGACUCCUAGGGGAGGCAGCAGGGGGGAAUAUUGCACAAUGGGCGCAGGCCGGAGGAAGCCAGGCCGGGUGUAUGAAGAGGGCCUUCGGGUUGUAAAGGACUUUCAGCGGGGAGGCGUUACCCGCAGAAGAAGCACCGGCUAACUCCGUGCCAGCAGCCGCGGAAUAC